UUGUCCGGAUUUACUGGGUGUAAAGGGUGCGUAGGCGGCUUUGCAAGUCAGAUGUGAAAUCUAUGGGCUCAACCCAUAAACUGCAUUUGAAACUGUAGAGCUUGAGUGAAGUAGAGGCAGGCGGAAUUCCCCGUGUAGCGGUGAAAUGCGUAGAGAUGGGGAGGAACACCAGUGGCGAAGGCGGCCUGCUGGGCUUUAACUGACGCUGAGGCACGAAAACGUGGGUAGCAAACAGGAUUAGAUACCCUGGUAGUCCACGCUGUAAACGAUGAUUACUAGGUGUGGGGGGUCUGACCCCUUCCGUGCCGGAGUUAACACAAUAAGUAAUCCACCUGGGGAGUACGGCCGCAAGGUUGAAACUCAAAGGAAUUGACGGGGGCCCGCCCAAGCAGUGGAGUAUGUGGUUUAA
rnacentral:rRNA from 1 species